UGGGGAAUUUUGGACAAUGGGCGAAAGCCUGAUCCAGCAAUGCCGCGUGUGUGAAGAAGGCCUUCGGGUUGUAAAGCACUUUUGUCCGGAAAGAGAUCCUUGGCUCUAAUACAGUCGGGGGAUGACGGUACCGGAAGAAUAAGCACCGGCUAACUACGUGCCAGCAGCCGCGGUAAUACGUAGGGUGCAAGCGUUAAUCGGAAUUACUGGGCGUAAAGCGUGCGCAGGCGGUUUGCUAAGACCGAUGUGAAAUCCCCGGGCUCAACCUGGGAACUGCAUUGGUGACUGGCAGGCUAGAGUAUGGCAGAGGGGGGUAGAAUUCCACGUGUAGCAGUGAAAUGCGUAGAGAUGUGGAGGAAUACCGAUGGCGAAGGCAGCCCCCUGGGCCAAUACUGACGCUCAUGCACGAAAGCGUGGGGAGCAAAACAGGAUUAGAUACCCUGGUAGUCCACGCCCUAAAACGAUGUCAAACUAGUUGUUGGGGAUUCAUUUCCUUAGUAACGUAGCUAACGCGUGAAGUUGACCGCCUGGGGAGUACGGUCGCAAGAUU
rnacentral:rRNA from 1 species